AGUUCCCCCUGACUGUGCGUCCCCGCAUCUGGGCUCCUUUGCAGAGGACUCGGUAGCUGCAGCUCCCGGAGCACAGCGGGCAGAGCUGCGGGCUGCGCGCGCCCCUGCUGCCACCGGGCGUCCCGCGGUGGCUCCCGCGCCCCGCGGCGACUUCCGCGCCCGCGCUCCCCUUUGUUCAAGUCCCGGAGCGGCGGCGGGGUCGGAGCCCGCGCCCUGGGCGACUGAGGCGGCCGCAGUCCGCGCCCCGGCGCCCUGGCGAUGCUGGACCAGAUCUCCGUGUCGGAAUUCGUGGCCGAGACCCUUGAAGAUUAUAAGGCGCCCACGGCCUCUUGCUUCACCACGGGCACGGCCCAGUGCCGGGACACCGUGGCGGCCAUCGAUGAGAAAUAGGAUCUCACUAUGUCUGGCUUCUAAUUGGCUCUGCUGCCCAGAAUUUGUAGUUUCAAAUUCCUGAGCUUUCCACUCAGACCUCAGCUCAACUGGAGACCAACCUGUCUGCAUAGUCAAAUGCCCCACAUGAAUGGAUGCAGUGACUUAUGAUGAUGUGCACGUGAACUUCACUGGGGAAGAGUGGAAUUUGCUGGAUCCUUCCCAGAAGAGUCUCUACAAAGAUGUGAUGCUGGAGACCUACUGGAACCUCACUGUUAUAGGCUACACUUGGGAAAACCAUCAUAUUGAAAGACAUUGUCAAAGUUCAAGAAGAAAUGAAAGGUAUGUAAGCAAUCAUAGUGGAG
rnacentral:lncRNA from 1 species